rnacentral:rRNA from 1 species
AAUGGGGGAAACCCUGAUGCAGCGAUGCCGCGUGAGUGAAGAAGGCCUUUGGGUUGUAAAGCUCUUUCGUCGGGGAAGAAAAUGACUGUACCCGAAUAAGAAGGUCCGGCUAACUUCGUGCCAGCAGCCGCGGUAAUACGAAGGGACCUAGCGUAGUUCGGAAUUACUGGGCUUAAAGAGUUCGUAGGUGGUUAAAAAAGUUGGUGGUGAAAUCCCAGAGCUUAACUCUGGAACUGCCAUCAAAACUUUUUAGCUAGAGUAUGAUAGAGGAAAGCAGAAUUUCUAGUGUAGAGGUGAAGUUCGUAGAUAUUAGAAAGAAUACCGAUUGCGAAGGCAGCUUUCUGGAUCAUUACUGACACUGAGGAACGAAAGCAUGGGUAGCGAAGAGGAUU